rnacentral:rRNA from 1 species
UGGGGAAUUUUGGACAAUGGGCGAAAGCCUGAUCCAGCAAUGCCGCGUGUGUGAAGAAGGCCUUCGGGUUGUAAAGCACUUUUGUCCGGAAAGAAAUCCUUGGCUCUAAUACAGUCGGGGGAUGACGGUACCGGAGGAAUAAGCACCGGCUAACUACGUGCCAGCAGCCGCGGUAAUACGUAGGGUGCAAGCGUUAAUCGGAAUUACUGGGCGUAAAGCGUGCGCAGGCGGUUUGCUAAGACCGAUGUGAAAUCCCCGGGCUCAACCUGGGAACUGCAUUGGUGACUGGCAGGCUAGAGUAUGGCAGAGGGGGGUAGAAUUCCACGUGUAGCAGUGAAAUGCGUAGAGAUGUGGAGGAAUACCGAUGGCGAAGGCAGCCCCCUGGGCCAAAUACUGACGCUCAUGCACGAAAGCGUGGGGAGCAAACAGGAUUAGAUACCCUGGUAGUCCACGCCCUAAAACGAUGUCAACUAGUUGUUGGGGAUUCAUUUCCUUAGUAACGUAGCUAACGCGUGAAGUUGACCGCCUGGGGAGUACGGUCGCAAGAUUAAAACUCAAAGGAAUUGACGGGGUCAUAGCUGUUUCCU